rnacentral:rRNA from 1 species
GGGGAAUUUUGGACAAUGGGGGCAACCCUGAUCCAGCCAUGCCGCGUGUCUGAAGAAGGCCUUCGGGUUGUAAAGGACUUUUGUCAGGGAGGAAAUCCUGAGCGUUAAUAGCGUUUGGGGAUGACAGUACCUGAAGAAUAAGCACCGGCUAACUACGUGCCAGCAGCCGCGGUAAUACGUAGGGUGCGAGCGUUAAUCGGAAUUACUGGGCGUAAAGCGUGCGCAGGCGGUUGUGCAAGUCUGAUGUGAAAGCCCCGGGCUUAACCUGGGAACGGCAUUGGAGACUGCACGACUAGAGUACGUCAGAGGGGGGUAGAAUUCCACGUGUAGCAGUGAAAUGCGUAGAGAUGUGGAGGAAUACCGAUGGCGAAGGCAGCCCCCUGGGAUGAUACUGACGCUCAUGCACGAAAGCGUGGGGAGCAAAC